rnacentral:rRNA from 1 species
AUUGAACGCUGGCGGCAUGCCUAACACAUGCAAGUCGAACGGCAGCAUGAAUAGAGCUUGCUCUAUUUGGCGGCGAGCGGCGAACGGGUGAGUAACAUAUCGGAACGUACCCAGUUGUGGGGGAUAACACACCGAAAGGUGUGCUAAUACCGCAUACGCCCUGAGGGGGAAAGCGGGGGAUCGAAAGACCUCGCGCGAUUAGAGCGGCCGAUGCCUGAUUAGCUUGUUGGUGGGGUAAAAGCCCACCAAGGCGACGAUCAGUAGCUGGUCUGAGAGGACGACCAGCCACACUGGGACUGAGACACGGCCCAGACUCCUACGGGAGGCAGCAGUGGGGAAUUUUGGACAAUGGGCGCAAGCCUGAUCCAGCCAUGCCGCGUGCGGGAAGAAGGCCUUCGGGUUGUAAACCGCUUUUGUCAGGGAAGAAAUCUUCUGGGCUAAUACCUCGGGAGGAUGACGGUACCUGAAGAAUAAGCACCGGCUAACUACGUG